ACCCCCCCCCCCCCCGCCGCAUUCCCCGCAUUCCCGGCCCCUGACGCGGGAGCCGCGGGGACUUUCUCACCCGGCGGGCGGGCGGCGUGCUUUCCCAGGCGGGGAGGGGCCGGUCCCAGCUAUGCCCGGCAUCCACAGGUUCCCCAGCAUUUUUGGGUCUGAAUGUCAUUGUUUCCUAAAGCAGAUAGGGAGGUGGGCGGGAGAAGAAACCCAUAGUGGCCUCUGGGCUCCAAAGUAGAGCCGCACUGGCCUGGACAGGCGGCUCAGCGGUUAGCGCACCGGCUGCCCCUGCAGGGGACCCGUCCGUUCCCAACACCCACCCGGGGCUCACAACCGCCUGUGACUCCAGUUCUGAGGACCCGACCGACGUCCCCUUCCGGCCUCCGCGGGUAUUGCACACUGUGCACAGAUGCACCAGCAACACACACACGUGCACACACGCACACACACACACACACAGACACACACGAGCACGCAUGCACGCACGCACACACGCACGCACGCGCACACACACGAGCACGCAUGCACGCACGCACACACACGCACGCAUACACACGCGCGCACACGAGCACGCAUGCACGCACGCACACACGCACGCACACGAGCACGCAUGCACGCACGCACGCACGCACACACGCACGCACACACACGAGCACGCAUGCACGCACGCACACACGCACGCACACACAUGAGCACGCAUGCACGCACACACACGAGCACGCAUGCACGCACGCACACACGCACGCACAUGAGCACGCACGCAUGCACACGAGCACACAUGCACGCGCGCACACACACACACGGGCACGCACGCGCGCACACGCACACACAAUAUUCAGAAGUCGAGCCGUAGCCUGUCAUCGCAGCUCUCAGGAAGCGGAGGCAGUAGGAUUGUGGUGAGUUUCCAGCCGGCCUGGACUACAUAUGAUAAGUGUUUCUCAAUCAAAUUCAGCCCGGUGUAAAACACGCCCUUAAUCUCAGCAGAGGCAGGAGGGUCUGUGAGUUCAAGGCCAGCCUGGUCUACACAGUGAGACCCCGUCUCCAUCAGUCAAUCCUGUGACAUGCGGGGCUGGAGUCGUAGGUAAAGACCUGAGAUCCACCAGCGGGGUCCACUCAGCUCCUUGAUUUUAUUUUUCUUUUUGGUUGCUUUUCUUUGGAUCCCAGGCUAGCCUCAGCGUUGUGACAAUCCCCCUGUCUCAGCACUGGGACGACAGGUGGGUCGCGUGUCUAGGGCUGGGCUCAGUGGAGACACUGGUCAUGCUGAAGCCCUGGGGCCCAUCCCAGCAGGGCCAUCCUCUGCUACAUCGGGGUUUUGAAGCCAGCCUGGGUUACAUGAGACCCAGGAGAGGGAAGAGGGCCAGCGGGGUGGCUCAGGACAGCUUGCUGCCAAGCCUGCUGACGGGAGUUCAGUCCUCCUCAGGACCCGUACAGACAGAGCGAACAGAAUCCCUGAGGCCUUUCGAACUCCACACAGGAGCACACACACACACACACACACACACACACACACACACACACACACAAAUACAUGUGAAGACUUUUAUUUUAAUUUGCUUAAAAGCCAGGCAAGGUGGGGCAUGCCCGUCACCUCAGCAAAAGGAGGGAUGUCACCACGAGUUCAAGGCCAGCCCGAGCUCCAGACUGAGACAGUCUCUACAAACACACACUCAAACUAGCUGGCUACAGUGCCAAGCAAAGAAGCCCGAGCUACUUGGAAAGCUGAGGCAGGAGGAUUACAUCAACACAGAAAUUUUCACUACUCUAGAAUAUUCUGUCAGUAUAUUAUUAUUAUUGUUGUUGUUGUUGCUUGAGCCGGGCUCUCAUGUAGCCCAGGCUGGCUUCAAGCUCCCUAUGUAGACAAGGAUGUCCUUGGACUUCUGAUCCUUCUGUCUUUGUCUCCUAAGAUCUCGGAUGACAGGCCUGAACACCGUGUCCCAUGCUGGAGACGGGACCCAGGGCUUUGUGCAUGCUAGGCAAGUACUCCACCAACUAAGCUACAAGCACUCUACCCACUGAGCUACAAGCACUCUGCCUGCUGAGGCCCCGCCCCAUGCCCCUGCUGGGAGCUUUUUACCAAACUACUGACCCCCAGCACAUUCCAGCACAUGUUUUCACUCUCUGUCCCCAAACAGGUGACUUCACCUCAUCAUCUGACCACAGUUGUGCAAGGCGACCAUCUGCAGAGAAGGCGAGACUCGAAUCCAGGGCAUGAGGAAGAGGGAUUCCAGGAUAUCCACCAAACCUCUGUCUUCCCGGACCGGUCACAGAACCGGGUCCCUGGCGGUGACCUCAUCGAGCUCCGGGGCCUGGCCGCCCUGUGGACUCUGCUGCAGAGUUAUGCAACUAGGGUUCAGGGGAAGACGUUUGUAUCGAUUCAUAAGCAGUAGAUUCGCAGAAAGAACAUGGAGCCCAGGCUGGCCCUGAAUGCUAAUCCUCCUCCCCAGUUCUCAGAUGACAGACGUGUGUUACCACACCAGAUACAUGCACCGCUGCAUGUGGUCCCCAUGGCUUCCUUGUUGAUGGAGGUGAGCUCUUCACCAGCGGGGCUCUAACUGCUCUCUCCCUGAGCCACAGGCACCCGCCCACAGGGCUCAGCCUGGGCCCCUGAUUUUCCCAGGUCCCCCUGGGGCCAUGCGGGUGGUGGUGAUGCCUGUGUCCCCACAGCCUCUGGACAGUCAGGGGAGGAGCCGUAGGCUGUAAAUGGUUUCUCAACAGAAGGCUGCAAACCGGCCUGGCCACAUUUGCAGGACACCUCUGCUCACUCUGUUUACAUUUGACUCUUGACCUGGAUCUGGACAAGGCGCGGCUUUCUCCAUGGCCACGGCUGCUCAGGGUCCCCUUUCCCCUGGAUCAGGGACCUGGAGAUUGCCCAAGAGAAGUCCAGAGCUCGGAGCGUCCCUGCGCUGUGGCCUGUGGGCUCUGUCCUCCGUCCCGUCCCCCUCCACAGUUCUCCUUCGUAUUCAGAGAGGGACGGGACGUCGUAUUCUUUUUCUUAUUAUUUAUUUUUGUGGGGACCAAGUCUUAUGUAGCACAGGCUAGCCUCAAACUGGCUAUGUAGCUGAGAGCUAUGUGUGCAGAGGAUCUCCACUGUGGCCAGUUUAUGUGGUGCUCUGAUGGGGCCCAGGGCCUCCUGUGUGCUAGGCAAGCACCCUACCCACUGAGCAACAAGCACUGUUCUAAUAGGGUCCUCUGGAAGUUGCUGAAACUGAACUUGGCUAGCGGUGGCUUUGAUCCCGGGAGCUCUGGGAACUGUGAUGUCACCAGAGUUCAUGCCUUUCCAUUUUACCUACAGACCUGUUGGGGUCACAGGGUCCUACUGAUAAGGGAGACCUCGUCCCGGGGACAAAUGUCACGGUGUCACCACAGGGAGCUCCGGGAGCGAGGCCACAGUGCUCUGCACCCAUGGAGCCCUGUGCACCUGCCACCCUGUUGACCCCCACCGCACUGAGGCCCUGGCACCCUCUGCCACCCCGUGGGCCACCCGGAGCCUGUCACGGGGGGAGGGGGCAGCUCGGGGUGCCCUCUGGCUCCGCUGUUUUGCUCUGUCCAGGCUGUGCAUUCUGACACCUGCUCGGAAACCGCCUGUGAGUCCGUAAUCUACCAACAAGCGAGCACAUGCCGUUGUCCCAGCACUGCAGAGCUGAGGCAGGGGGAUCGGGCCAUCCUCAGCUGCACAGUCACGGGGGGAGGGGGGAGAUGAUGUGAGGCCUGUCCCCAAAACAAACAGAAAAGGAGCAAGAGAGGUGGUGUGUGCGCGAGUGCACCUCAGUAUGUGUGUGGAGCUCAGACAACUCGGGAAAUCUGUCCUCACCGUCCGCUCUGUAAGUCCCGGGGCUUGAACUCGGGUUCUUGGGCUUGGCGGCAGCGCCCUUACCCACCACCCACGGGUCUCUGGCCCGUGCCUUCUGUCUUUGAUGGAGUAUUACUCACCCAUGAGAAAGAACAAAGGGUGUGCGCGGUGAGUGUGGUGAUGUCAUGUGGGGAGAAAGAGGCCGCUUACAACGUGAGGUUCCUGUCGCAGGACUUUCCGCCUGCAGCAGAAUGAAGAACGGAGCCAAGGUUACUGAGGUCCGCUGCCGUGACAUGGUGCAGAAGUCAGGGCAACAGCGGUGGCCUGUGUCCUGGAGGGGGUUCCAUGGCCGUAUGUGCUUCUAAAACCGCUGUCCACAGUGAACCUCAAAGGGUUCCACUGUGUGUGUAGGAGCCCUUCACAAGACCAUGUCAUUAAUGGGAGUCCUGAAGAAGGGUCCUUGUCGGAGGGCGGUGGUGGCGCACGCCUUUAAUCCCAAUGCUUGGCAGGCAGAGGCAGGUGGAUCUCUGUGAGUUCAAGGCCAGCCUGGGCCACAGUGCAAGUUCUGGGACAGCCAUGACCACACAGAGAAACCCUGUCUCAGGGAAGAAUAAAAAGGAAUGGUCGCUGUGACUUGCCUCCUCCUUUUUCCUUAGUUUCCUUAUUGGCUUUUGGUAGUGGUUGUUUUGUUGGACAGAGGUCUCAGGUAGCCCAGGCUGGCCUUGAACUCACUAUGUAGUCAAUGAUAACCUUGAAUUCCUGACCCUCCUGCCUCCACUUACUGAGCGCUGGGGAGGAGACAGGCACCUCCAUGCCUGCCCUAAGACCUUCCUGUGUGUCCCGUUCUUGCCGGUCCCUCGCUGGCGUCCUCAGGGUCGUGCUGUCUCCCUGUGGCCAUGGAGCACGCCUUCGUCACGCUCAUUUACUUGCCUCCUUAUUUAUUCAUUUAUUUAUUUCUGAGACAGGGUUUCUCUGUGUAGACCAGGCUGUCCUGGAACUCCCUCUGUAGCCCAGGCUGGCCUUGAACUCAGAGAUCCGCCUGCCUCUGCCUCCCGAGGGCUGGAAUUAAUGGCCUGUGCCACCACCACCCAGAUCAUGUAUGUAUUUAUGGGUUUUGAGACAGGGUCUCACUGUGUAGCCAUGGCUGUCCUAGAACUCACCAUGUAGACCAGGCUGGCCUCUGCCUCCACGCCCGGGCCUCGUUCCUCUGAUCUUUGGGUUUUCUCUGUGUCUGUCAGCACCGGGCUGAGGCACUGUGUCUCCCCCUCUGCCUCCCACGGCCACAGUUCUCCGAGUUGGAGAACGUUUCACCCGUCUGGACCGACUGUCUUUCAGUCUCCUGUCUCCGGACUCUCGGUUGAGUAGGAGGGUCAGGGUGGGGGUCGGAUGGGUUGUAUGAGGCCGGGGACAUGGCUCAGCCGCAAAGAACUGUCCCGGGAGCCCGGGCACGCCUGGCCGAUGUCCCUGCCCCCUGGACCUCAGAAGAGGCUCCCCUGGGUACCCCAGCUCUUCUCUCCCCGUCUCUCAGCAUGUCAGGUUCCAAGGGGACCACCUCUGAGGGCCUCAGCGGGGCCGGUGAGCAGGGACACAGGGUCUCUUGGAGUCCAUGGAACCAAAAAGGGACUGAGACAAGCCCUCAGGCUCCAGAUAACACCAGGGACAUGUGGGGAGCUCCUGGCGUGGAGUGGGUGGAGGCCAGGCACCACACAGCAUCCAGUACUCCCCACACAGAGUGACGCCGUCCAGUGUCCACAGCACCCAGGAGACCCUGGGUGGCUUGAUGACUUGUAACCCAUCGUUUCUAGUUCUGUGUCUCUGGGAUCCUGUCUCCACCAAGUGUGGUUACCAUGUCACCCUCCGGCAGACAGCACACCUAAGGUGUAAUUAUAUCUCUCUCCAGGACGAGGGCUAAAACCCAGCCCUGGCCUCCCGGCUUUUCACUCCAGAUCGGCAGCACACCCGGGGCCGCUCCAAGAGCAAGGGCUGUUCUGAGAGGCCGUUACCCCGAGUGACACCCCGAGUGACACCCUGAUUUCUCCCGUGCUGCCGGCAGCCUGGUGCUGCAGUCACUGUGCACACCCGGGAGCUCUGUCCCCCAGGGCUGCCACGUGCUGAGCCUUGUGGCCAGCUGCCUGUGGGGUGUGAGGGCAGCUGACUCAGCAGCCCGCGUGCUUGGCUGUUGUUGACUUACUACUUGUGGGGGGGCAUGGCUGGGCCGUGAGUCAGGGACUAGCUGGUGACACAUACUUCUGCCAGGACAACAGGGGACAGCCUGCAGGGUACAGGGAGCGCCUGAGUCGCACCUCAGAGUGAGCUGACCCAUGACAAAAACAACCGUGUACCAGGAGAAGCCUGGAAGACAAAACAUGUCCAGACAUGUAUGUGGGCAAACACAGCCAUGUCCAUACUGAGAUAUGCAGAGGGGUGUGUGUGUGUGUGCACACGUGAGCAGUAUCAGCCUGGAAUCCCUGUGAGGGGCUGGGGGCGUGGUCAGGGUGGAGCCCCACCCAGAAUCCCCCAGUGAGGGGCUGGGGGCGUGGUCAGGGUGGACCCCGCCUAGAAUCCCCCAGUGAGGGGCCGGGGGCGUGGUCAGGGCUCUCAGUUGAGCCCUGGCUCUGCAUGCACAUAGUCAAACACACGCCCAUAUCGUAUGCCUGUGCAGAGACCCCCCUGUGCACACACAGCACACACCUGAAGACAGACACUGACCUGCUCCCACUUCCGUCUGGGCACACUGAUCACACACGCCCUCACACGGAUGCAUCCUUACGUGGAUGUGCACACACAUGUGCUGAGCAGGACCCCCCAGCCCUCUACUUCCCAGCUUCCCAGGAAAACACACACUGAGGCCUGGCCUUGUUCUCUGAACCCAACUAUAUUUAGCUCAAGAGAAAUCUCAGGUUUUCGCGUCCUCCUAGAAGUCCUGAUGAGUGAUUUCUCUGCAGCCACAUGCUGAGGCUCCGGCUUCUCUGCCCCUGGGUGCUGGAUGUCUGCCCACACCCCAGGGAGCCAGACAGGGCCAAAGAUGUUUUUCUAUUAUUAUUAUUAAUUGAAACCUGAUUAAGAACAUUUUUUUUUUUCCAAGACAGGGUUUCUCUGUGUAGCCCUGGCUGUCCAGGAACUCACUCUGUAGACCAGGCUGGUCUCAAACUCACAGAGUUCCUCCUGCCUCUCCUCCCGAGUGCUGGGAUUAAAGGUAUGCGCCACCACUGCCCAGCAAGAACAUCGUUAAACUGGAUGUGGUAGCUUAUGCCUGUCAACCCAGACUUUAAGAAACUGAGGCAGGAGAAUGGCCAAGAGUUCCAGGCCAGCCUGGGCUACACACAGAGACUCUGUCACCAACAAAGCAAACAAAAGUUGAUGUCUAUUCCUGUUUAUCUGCAACAAGAAAGCACAAAGCGAUUCCAUUGAGCCUCGCUUAAUGUGACAUUUGAUAAAACUGUGGGCCAGGGCUGACAAGAGGGCUCAGCUGGAAAAGGUGAUUGCAGCCAAGACAGACCGAGAAUCCCAGGGACCCACAUGGAAGGAGAUAACAGAGUCCCACAAGUCCCCUGACCUCUGCAUGGAUGCUUUAACACAUGUAAACACUCACACACACACACACACACACACACACACAC